UGGGGAAUAUUGCACAAUGGGCGCAAGCCUGAUGCAGCCAUGCCGCGUGUAUGAAGAAGGCCUUCGGGUUGUAAAGUACUUUCAGCGGGGAGGAAGGGAGUAAAGUUAAUACCUUUGCUCAUUGACGUUACCCGCAGAAGGAGCACCGGCUAACUCCGUGCCAGCAGCCGCGGUAAUACGGAGGGUGCAAGCGUUAAUCGGAAUUACUGGGCGUAAAGCGCACGCAGGCGGUUUGUUAAGUCAGAUGUGAAAUCCCCGGGCUCAACCUGGGAACUGCAUCUGAUACUGGCAAGCUUGAGUCUCGUAGAGGGGAGUAGAAUUCCAGGUGUAGCGGUGAAAUGCGUAGAGAUCUGGAGGAAUACCGGUGGCGAAGGCGGCCCCCUGGACGAAGACUGACGCUCAGGUGCGAAAGCGUGGGGAGCAAACAGG
rnacentral:rRNA from 1 species